GGACGCGGUGGUACAGUGGUUAAGUGUGCUUGACUUGGGAUCAAAAGGUCCUGAGUUCAAGUCCUUCCCUCAGCUUUCA